UGCCAGCAGCCGCGGUAAUACGAAGGGUGCAAGCGUUAAUCGGAAUUACUGGGCGUAAAGCGUGCGUAGGUGGCUUGUCAAGCCAGAUGUGAAAGCCCCGGGCUUAACCUGGGAACUGCAUCUGGAACUGGUUGGCUAGAGUACGGUAGGGGGUAGUGGAAUUUCCUGUGUAGCGGUGAAAUGCGUAGAUAUAGGAAGGAACAUCAGUGGCGAAGGCGGCUUCCUGGACCAACACUGACGCUGAGGUGCGAAAGCGUGGGUAGCAAACAGGAUUAGAUA
rnacentral:rRNA from 1 species